rnacentral:rRNA from 1 species
UACGAAGGGGGCUAGCGUUGUUCGGAAUCACUGGGCGUAAAGCGCAUGCAGGCGGAUCGUUAAGUCGGGGGUGAAAGCCCGAGGCUCAACCUCGGAACUGCCUUCGAUACUGGCGAUCUUGAGUCCGGGAGAGGUGAGUGGAACUCCGAGUGUAGAGGUGAAAUUCGUAGAUAUUCGGAAGAACACCAGUGGCGAAGGCGGCUCACUGGCCCGGUACUGACGCUGAGAUGCGAAAGCGUGGGGAGCAAACAGG